GACGAACGCUGGCGGCGUGCUUAACACAUGCAAGUCGAACGGAAAGGCCCUGCUUUUGUGGGGUGCUCGAGUGGCGAACGGGUGAGUAACAAGUGAGUAACCUGCCCUUGACUUUGGGAUAACUUCGGGAAACUGGGGCUAAUACCGGAUAGGAGCUCCUGCUGCAUGGUGGGGGUUGGAAAGUUUCGGCGGUUGGGGAUGGACUCGCGGCUUAUCAGCUUGUUGGUGGGGUAGUGGCUUACCAAGGCUUUGACGGGUAGCCGGCCUGAGAGGGUGACCGGCCACAUUGGGACUGAGAUACGGCCCAGACUCCUACGGGAGGCAGCAGUGGGGAAUAUUGCACAAUGGGCGGAAGCCUGAUGCAGCAACGCCGCGUGCGGGAUGACGGCCUUCGGGUUGUAAACCGCUUUCGCCUGUGACGAAGCGUGAGUGACGGUAAUGGGUAAAGAAGCACCGGCUAACUACGUG
rnacentral:rRNA from 1 species